rnacentral:rRNA from 1 species
GUGCCUAGUGGGCCAUUUUUGGUAAGCAGAACUGGCGCGGUGGGAUGAACCAAAAGCCGAGUAAGGCGCCUAAACGACGCUAAUGGGAUACCAUGAAAGGCGUUGGUUGCUUAAGACAGCAGGACGGUGGCCAUGGAAGUUGGAAUCCGCUAAGGAGUGUGUGUAACAACUCACCUGCCGAAGCAACUAGCCCUGAAAAUGGAUGGCGCUGAAGCGUUCGUGCCUAUACUCGGCCGCCAGGCAUGAGAAACGUUCAUAAUAGUUGUUUUGACGCCCUGGUGAGUAGGAGGGUCGCGGUGGUGUGCGCAGAAGGGUUUGGGCGUAAGCCUGCCUGGAGCCGCCUCGGUGCAGAUCUUGGUGGUAGUAGCAAAUACUCCAGCGAGGCCCUGGAGGACUGACGUGGAGAAGGGUUUCGUGUGAACAGCCGUUGCACACGAGUCAGUCGAUCCUAAGCCCCAGGAGAAAUCCUAUGUUGAUGUCGGUGUAUUUUAUUUUGAAUAAAAUUUCACACCCAUGGGCGAAAGGGAAUCCGGUUCCUAUUCCGGAACCCGGCAGGGAACCGUUUACAAGUCGGGCCCUCGCAAGAGAGUUCGUCGGGGUAACCCAAAAUGACCUGGAGACGCCGUCGGGAAAUACGGGAAGAGUUUUCUUUCUGUAUGAGCGUUCGAGUUUCCUGGAAUCCUCUAGAAGGGAGAUAGGGUUUGGAACGCGAAGAGCACCGCAGUUGUGGCGGUGUCCGUAUCUUCCCUCGGACCUUGAAAAUCCAGGAGAGGGCCACGGUAGGUGUCGCGCCGGUUCGUACCCAUAUCCGCAGCAGGUCUCCAAGGUGAAGAGCUCUAGUCGAUAGAUAAAUGUAGGUAAGGGAAGUCGGCAAAUUGAUCCGUAACUUCGGGAUAAGGAUUGGCUCUGAGGAUCGGGGGUGCGGGCUUGGUUGGGAAGCGGGCGUAGGCCGAUGUGCCGGGCCUGGGCAAGGUGAAAUUGUCUUGUGACUUAGAUCCGAGCUCGGUCCCGUGUCUAGGCCCCCCCGCGGAUCUUUCUUGCUGCGACGGUUUCUGUGCCGGCUUCGGUCGGUCAGUCGUACUUUCGGCCGCCAUUCAACGGUCAGCUCAGAACUGGCACGGACUAGGGGAAUCCGACUGUCUAAUUAAAACAAGCAUUGCGAUGGCCCUAGCGGGUGUUGACGCAAUGUGAUUUCUGCCCAGUGCUCUGAAUGUCAACGUGAAGAAAUUCAAGCAAGCGCGGGGGUAAACGGGAGCGGGGAGUAACUAUGACUCUCUUAAGGUAGCCAAAUGCCUCGUCAUCUAACUAGUGACGCGCAUGAAUGGAUAACGAGAUUCCCAUGUCCCUAUCUACUUUCUAGCGAAACCUCUGCCAAGGGACGGGCUUGGAAAAAUUAGCGGGGAAAGAAGACCCUGUUGAGCUUGACUCUAGUCUGGCAUUGUAAGGAGACAUGAAAGGUGUAGCAUAAGUGGGAGAUAGUAAUAUCGUCGGUGAAAUACCACUACUUUCAUCGUUUCUUUACUUACUCGAUUGGGCGGAAAGCUGUGCGUCGAAAACUUGGCGUUCCGACUGUCACGGUUUUCUAGAGCCAAGCGCAUAAGAGUGGGUGUGAGCCAUUGCGCCGAUCGCCAACAAUACUCUAGCGUGAUCCGAUUCGAGGAAACUGCUAGGCGGGGAGUUUGACUGGGGCGGUACAUCUGUCAAAUAAUAACGCAGGUGUCCUAAGCCAGCUCAGCGAGGACAGAAACCUCGCGUAGAGCAAAAGGGCAAAUGCUGGCUUGAUCCCGUUGUUCAGUGUGCCACAGGGACGCGAAAGCAUGGCCUAUCGAUCCUUUUGGCUUGAAGAGUUUUCAGCAAGAGGUGUCAGAAAAGUUACCACAGGGAUAACGGCUUGUGGCAGCAAGCGUUCAUAGCGACGUUGCUUUUUGAUCCUUCGAUGUCGGCUCUUCCUAUCAUUGCGAAGCAG